rnacentral:tRNA from 1 species
GGCCAGAUAGCUCAGUUGGUUAGAGCAUCUGGGAUAUAACCAGAAGGUCCUGGGUUCAAUCCCCAGUCUGGUCA